UACGUAGGGACCAAGCGUUGUUCGGAUUUACUGGGCGUAAAGGGCGCGUAGGCGGCGCGGUAAGUCACUUGUGAAAUCUCUGAGCUUAACUCAGAACGGCCAAGUGAUACUGCAGUGCUAGAGUGUGGAAGGGGCAAUCGGAAUUCUUGGUGUAGCGGUGAAAUGCGUAGAUAUCAAGAGGAACACCUGAGGUGAAGACGGGUUGCUGGGCCAACACGUGACGCUGAGGCGCGAAAGCCAGGGGAGCAAACGGG
rnacentral:rRNA from 1 species